UCUUAUUAAAAAAUAAAUGUGUUAUAUAAGUUAAAAUGGUGGGACAGGAACGGAGCAUAUUAAAUAAAACCUCUAAAUAUGGCUUCCAGGCCUGAAGCUUACUCUCCUCAGAUGUUUGAUGAGUUUAAAUUCCAAGGACUACGAAAGAUGAAAGAUUCCUCAAAUGCUUCCAAAAGAAAUCUUAUUAGCCAAUAUGUGAAGCUAAUGUUCAGAAUUUCACCGACUGAACUCGCCUCUGAGGCCUGGAAUUAAUUGAGCCCACAGAAUACCCCUAGCUUGCUUGCUAAGCCCUACCUAAGGAAGGUUUUAGAAGAGAAAACUCUAGUCGUUGCAGCCUACAGCAACCCAAUUCACAGACAAAUCAAAAUGAUAAGAAGAUAUCUGCAUAUCCCUUCAGCGGGAUGGGCACCGUUGAUCCAUCAAAAUUCAAAAGAAAGCACCAUUUAGAUGGUUUCAUUGAAGCUGUUUGCCUAUUCUUAUUAUGGACCUGAUAAUGCAUAUUAGCCGCGCCCUUUCUAAACCCUCUCCAUAGGCCUAAGCAGAAUCCCAAAUAAACUAACGAGAACCCACGUUGCCACUUAUGUCAAGGAAAGUCCACCAUGUAUAGCAAGCCUGAGAGCCAUUCAAGUCCCAUGAACAUGAGAAAGGAAAUGGAUCCAUUUCACCAUGUUGCGCAGAGAUUUCUCACCUUUUCUUGAGGUAGUUUUCUAACAGCCGGCCAAGUUUCCACUUAUAUAUAUAUUUUAACAUGAAAUAUCAUAACCUCAAUGGAUCCAAAUUCCUAUCGCCAAAACAUAUGUUCUACAAGGGCAUUCUGGACAAACAUUCAAAAUCUGUAGCUGCUACAACCUCCCCCACUGGGAGAUCCAUACCCUCCUAAGCUUGAAGAUCCAUACCCUCCUAGAUGCGAUGCAAAAGAAGAUGAAGGGUAGCUGGUGUCCGCUACUUGUGAAUAUGAACUGAAUCCCGAGUCCAUCUUCCCAUACACACUUGGUGUUGGUUCCUUCCGAGUGCUAAUGAACUCCUGAAUAAGUUGUUGAGCCAUUUGAACCUGAGAAGUGGUGCCCUUAAUUUCCACAGUAAUCUCAUCAGGUAAACCUCUACUCUCUUGUAUGGUAAGAAUCGCUCCACUAUUACGACGAAUGUAGGCGAUAUUUGAUCCACCAACCCCAAUGAUGUCCUCAGCAUAUGAAAGAGGUACUUGCAUAGUUUGUGUCAUCUGGGUAACUAUAGGAGCAGUGGCACGACCAAGUCCUGUUGAGCGUAAUCCACCAAGUGCAGAAUCUUGUCCACAAAGUGACAGUCCAGAUUGUGAGAUUUUUGGGUCAAGAUGGGUUUCACGAUCAUAUAUUGAAGGAUCCCUCUUCAAGGACAGGGAAUAAUCAGAACCAAUCCCAAUCUGAUGAGCAGGAGCUGAAUGGAGUGAGGGCGGAGUUUUUUCAGCCCUGGAAUCAGCAGAGCGUUCCAGGUAAAUUGUUGCAUUGUACUGCAACAAAAUAUGUGAAUUAAUUCAAAAUUCCUGCAAUCUCAACAAACAAUCGCAACCAAAUGACUUCUUACACAGUUUUCUCAAAUAUAGGAAUGACACUAUGAUCAACCAAGAACUUUCUCAGGUGUCCAGUUACUGCUUCUAAUGCUUUUAAAACCUUUACAGCUUCACCAUGUAUCUCAACUAUUCUCUCAUCUGAAGUAGCAUAUGAAGGCACUUCCUCUUCUGCUAAAACACGAACAACAGCACCAGUGUUUUCCUGUAUCGAUUUGAUUGUAGAUCCCUGUUUUCCGAUUAAGUUAAUCGCCUGUGAAGAAGCAACCAAUAGCCGUAUGAAGCAAAAUGCAGCACCAGCAACAGCUGAAUCCAUACCGUCAGCCUCACCAGCAGAUAGACCACUAACACGCUUAUACACUCUCAGAACAGCAUCCAUUGCAGGAGAUAGUGCUGCUUCUGGUUCUUCUUUUCCAGAUAUCAAAACCUAAAAAUAAACAUAUAAAAUCACCAGAAAAGGAUCACCAGAGAGUACAACUGCACCUCAAUAAAAAAUUGCAGCAGAUAUCAAUUGAUCUUGCUCAGUUGAGUUACUGCCUUAAGGCAUGAAGUUAUUGCAAUCUAGUCAUACAAAAAGAUGAAAAACAAGGAUUAUAAUUAGAGAAAAAUAUUCCAUGAUAAGACUUACUCAACCAUGAUAAGAUAGCAUGAAUGUUUUGGAACCCAACCCAGUCAAUGAACCACAAAAAGGGCAAUGUCAUGCUUAAAACAGCAUAUGUGGUAAAAAAAGAAGUGAAAGGACCAGUAUCAAUCAUAACAGAGCAGCUUAUAGAUUCAGAGUUUGAAACUGAUGUAUUCUGUUGGACCUAGUGAAAUUGCAGAAUCACAAAAUAGUGACUUGGUCAAAUGAGAGAAAAUUUGUGAGACAAAUCAUGUAUUAUCUAGUUCACAAAAUUUAAUUGGACAUGGAUAAAUUUAGCAAAGUCAUGGAAAGACAAGCUCUCAUACUUCAAUAGGUAUGAAAAAAACACUAUAGUGUAUCUUAGCUGAUACUAAUACUAACACUGAUAGUACUUCUAACAUACAAAGACUGAAAGAUUUCAUUCAUGAAAUCAUAUGAGGAACUCUUAUAGAAUAUGCAAAAAACUAGAGCACAAUUGAAGAACUGGACUGUCUUAAAAAUGGCAACUUUUUCCUUGCCAAGCUUACAAACAAGACUCAUGAAGUGCAUUUCAUUUGGUGACAGCUAGGCUUCCCAAUUACCAAUGGAGUUUGUCUAAACUCAUGAAAAAGGUGUAUGUAGAGACUCAUAUUAGCGUUAAAUAACAUCAAGCUUCAAUUUUAUAAACUAUUCUAACUGAUCCAAGCCAAUCUCAACCAUCCAAAGCUGAACCAAUGGUUUCAGCUGGAGUUUGAAAAGAAAUCAAUUCAACUAGCAAAUCUUGAAUUGCCCAGAAUUCCAGACAGCUAUGAUUUCAAUUUGGGCACUGGACCAGAAGCCUGCCUGAAUCUAGGGUUUGCCUUUUGACAUAUAAAAUUAAAAAACCAAAGGUAUACAUUUUGAAGACAUCUGGUCCUAGUUUUACUGGACAGCAACCAAACAUUAAGCAAGCAUAGAAAGUUCUCGAAUUCAAUAAUCACAUGCCAAACAAGAACUCUGGCUUUGUCAGUUUUCCGAUAGCAUAGCAAAAACAGAUUGAGAAAAGGACUAAGCAGUGAUGCAAAAGACAGAAAUGGGUAGGGAGAGAAAAAGGAAGAAAGGCACUAAAGACGCUUUUAGGGAUGCCAAGGGGGCCUUCGAGUAUGCGAAUGCGGGCGCGGGUUUCAUCACACA
rnacentral:misc_RNA from 1 species